rnacentral:rRNA from 1 species
GGGGGCCCGCACAAGCGGUGGAGCAUGUGGUUUAAUUCGAUGCAACGCGAAGAACCUUACCUGGUCUUGACAUCCACAGAACUUGGCAGAGAUGCCUUGGUGCCUUCGGGAACUGUGAGACAGGUGCUGCAUGGCUGUCGUCAGCUCGUGUUGUGAAAUGUUGGGUUAAGUCCCGCAACGAGCGCAACCCUUAUCCUUUGUUGCCAGCGGUCCGGCCGGGAACUCAAAGGAGACUGCCAGUGAUAAACUGGAGGAAGGUGGGGAUGACGUCAAGUCAUCAUGGCCCUUACGACCAGGGCUACACACGUGCUACAAUGGCGCAUACAAAGAGAAGCGACCUCGCGAGAGCAAGCGGACCUCAUAAAGUGCGUCGUAGUCCGGAUUGGAGUCUGCAACUCGACUCCAUGAAGUCGGAAUCGGCUAUAAUCGUGAUCAG